GUUUAGACAAAAUGGCCACUAGAAGCUUCUAACCCCUCCCCCCCAUAACACCGACUAACUACCUCGUGUAACAAGAUGGCGCUGGAAUCCGGAGAGACCCUUGUGGUUCCAGUGACAUCACCCUUAGUAGGCAGAACAUUAAGAGAACCACUUAACACCUAACCAAUUAAUAAAGUAUUAUUUCAUGUUAUCUCUGACAAUACUUAUGAUGUAAUUUUGCUUUAAAAGUGAUCUGCUGUGCCC